ACACAUGCAAGUCGAGGGGCAGCGGGUGUAGCAAUACAUGCCGGCGACCGGCGAAAGGGUGAGUAACGCGUGAGCAACGUGCCCGUAUGUGGGGGAUAGUCGAUGGAAACGUCGCGUAAUACCCCGUAACACACGGUCUCGCAUGGGACAGUGUUGAAAGAUUUAUUGCAUACGGAUCGGCUCGCGUGCCAUUAGGUAGACGGCGGGGUAACGGCCCACCGUGCCGACGAUGGCUAGGGGUUCUGAGAGGAAGGUCCCCCACAUUGGAACUGAGACACGGUCCAGACUCCUACGGGAGGCAGCAGUGAGGAAUAUUGGACAAUGGCCGGAAGGCUGGUCCAGCCAUGCCGCGUGCGGGACGACGGCCCUAUGGGUUGUAAACCCGCUUUUGCGAGGGAGCAAUAAGCGCAACGAGUUGCGCGAUGAGAGUACCUCGCGAAUAAGCAUCGGCUAACUCCGUGCCAGCAGCCGCGGUAAUACGGAG
rnacentral:rRNA from 1 species